rnacentral:rRNA from 1 species
GUAACGGGGCUAAACCAUGCACCGAAGCUGCGGCAGCGACACUAUGUGUUGUUGGGUAGGGGAGCGUUCUGUAAGCCUGCGAAGGUGUGCUGUGAGGCAUGCUGGAGGUAUCAGAAGUGCGAAUGCUGACAUAAGUAACGAUAAAGCGGGUGAAAAGCCCGCUCGCCGGAAGACCAAGGGUUCCUGUCCAACGUUAAUCGGGGCAGGGUGAGUCGACCCCUAAGGCGAGGCCGAAAGGCGUAGUCGAUGGGAAACAGGUUAAUAUUCCUGUACUUGGUGUUACUGCGAAGGGGGGACGGAGAAGGCUAUGUUAGCCGGGCGACGGUUGUCCCGGUUUAAGC